rnacentral:rRNA from 1 species
GGUGAACGCUGGCGGCGUGCUUAAGACAUGCAAGUCGAGCGGGCCGCGGGGUUUUACUCCGUGGUCAGCGGCGGACGGGUGAGUAACGCGUGGGUGACCUACCCGGAAGAGGGGGACAACCCGGGGAAACUCGGGCUAAUCCCCCAUGUGGACCCGCCCCUUGGGGUGUGUCCAAAGGGCUUUGCCCGCUUCCGGAUGGGCCCGCGUCCCAUCAGCUAGUUGGUGGGGUAAUGGCCCACCAAGGCGACGACGGGUAGCCGGCCUGAGGGGGUGGCCGGCCAAAGGGGCACUGAGACACGGGCACCACUCCUACGGGAGGCAGCAGGUAAGAAGCGUCCGCAAUGGGCGCAAGCCUGGCGGAGCGACGCCGCUUGGAGGAAGAAGCCAUUCGGGGUGUAAACUCCUGAACCCGGGACGAAACCCCCGACGAGGGGACUGACGGUACCGGGGUAAUAGCGCCGGCCAACUCCGUG